rnacentral:rRNA from 1 species
GCUAGUUGGUGGGGUAAAGGCCCACCAAGGCGACGAUCCGUAGCGGGUCUGAGAGGACGGCCCGCCACACUGGGACUGAGACACGGCCCAGACUCCUACGGGAGGCAGCAGUGGGGAAUUUUGGACAAUGGGGGCAACCCUGAUCCAGCCAUUCCGCGUGAGUGAAGAAGGCCUUCGGGUUGUAAAGCUCUUUCGGCAGGAACGAAACGGCGGGCUCUAACAUAGCCUGUCAAUGACGGUACCUGAAGAAGAAGCACCGGCUAACUACGUGCCAGCAGCCGCGGUAAUACGUAGGGUGCGAGCGUUAAUCGGAAUUACUGGGCGUAAAGCGUGCGCAGGCGGCUUUGUAAGACAGGUGUGAAAUCCCCGGGCUUAACCUGGGAACUGCGCUUGUGACUGCAAGGCUCGAGUGCGGCAGAGGGGGGUGGAAUUCCACGUGUAGCAGUGAAAUGCGUAGAGAUGUGGAGGAACACCGAUGGCGAAGGCAGCCCCCUGGGUCGACACUGACGCUCAUGCACGAAAGCGUGGGUAGCAAACAGGAUUAGAUACCCUGGUAGUCCACGCCCUAAACGAUGCCAACUAGGUGUUGGGGAAGGAGACUUCCUUAGUACCGUAGCUAACGCGUGAAGUGGCCGCC